AAAUAUGUGAAAAAUUCAAAAUUUUCGUACCACAUUUUCGUCGUUAGGUUUUACCUUUUCGGCAAUACAGACAGCGGUGUCAGGAGAUACAUUUUCUCACAUCAGCGUCAUUCUAAAUUUUUGUAUUAAAAAUUCUUUAAAUAUUAAAUCAUUAGCAACUGUUUUUAAUAUGAUUCCAAAUUAAUUGUGUAUAACACUUUAACCUAACAAAAUAAAAUAAAUAAAUAAAUAUGGCAAAACUGAAGAAAAAGCAUUUCUCAUACAAGUCCAAAAAGAAGAUGAGAGGUAUAUCCGCUCGUCUUUUGAAGCUUGCACAACCAAAGAAAGUAGUUGACACCCAUUUGAAAGAAAAUCCAUUCAGUGUCAAGAGAAGUGCAUUAGAAUAUACUGCUUCUGACCGAAUUUGUCAAAUGGCGAAACCUAAGAAAUAUGAAGACUUUCACACUCGCACAGAUUGUUUUACUGUGACAAAAGGAGCUUUACAAGCAACAGCCACUCCACGGUUAAUACAACUAGCAAUACCAAAAUAUUCGGACAGAUUUGCCUUUUACUUUUGAAAUUGACUUAAUUGAAUCCAAAACAAAGAAGUGAAGAUCCCAACAAUAUUCCAAUUAAAAUGCAAUAAAGUUAAAAUUAGAAAAAUUAUGCAAUAAACUGCAACACCGCGAAAACAGCUCUAAAAACCUUGGUAGGGCCGUGACGAAGGUAGAAUAGCGACAAAAUGCCAGAGAAACCAAAGCAGAAAACUGCGUGGACCAUUAAAAGGGACAAAAUGCUUCGCUAUAAAGCUUCUGAACGGACUAUUAACUUAGCAAAAGCAAGGUAUACAUCAGUGCGUUUCAAAGAUCAACCAAAGGAUACGACCUUUGACGUAAAAAAGAAUGCAUUGAAAGCUAAAGCUUCGGAACGCACCAUCGAACUUGCAAAACCAAAAUUCGUCACUCCUAAAUACGUAAAUCCCAAUGCAAAGGCGAAAUGAUCAAUAUAUAUCACUUUAUUCGGUGAAUAUAUAACUUUAUUCGGUGAAUAACAAUCAAGUAUAGGAUGGAGCAGAUUAACAUGCCUACGCUCAGCAUUGGUAACAUCUACAGAAAAUGUCGGUGGAUAGGAAUGGAUUUCGUUAAAAAAUGUCAAAAUGAUAUAACCAUAUCCCGAAUGUUAUAAUCAUAUAACGGCUAUCUAGAAAUCUGUUUCACAGCCAAGUACUGUAUUUUUGGCGUGCAAGUUAAAUCCUGUUGUGCUGUUUUGUUAUAUUAAGGAAGAUCGAGCGUCCAGAAAUUUUGAUCAAUCUUAAAAGGAUACACAGAUGUUGUGGGUAAUAUAUCUAUGUAUAAUCCUGCUAUUUAAUUUCGAUCAAUUACCUAUAUCACCAACAUAAAGGAUUUACAGUAUCUAUUUCUUAUAUUUUACCUAUAACGUGGAGGUUAAAACCUGUUGUGAUGUUUGUGAUAUUAAGGAAGAUCGAGUAUCCAGAAAUUUAUUUCAUACUCAAAAAAGAAUACACGGAUGUAGGCGGUAAAAUAUUUACAAAUAGUCCUUCUUCUGGAUUGGGUUCUGGUGUCUAUAUCACCAAUGGAUGUGUAGUAGUCUAUUUCCUGUAUUAUACUUUGGUGUGUAAGUCAAGUCCUGUGUCAUUCUUGUGAUAUUUAGGAAUAUCGAACGUCCAUAAAUAUAUCUACAAAAAAUUAGAAACGAAGUAAUUAAAUGGUGACUACAAUAUUUUUUGAAUACAGGAGAAACAAUCUAAGUUGUACAAUGGACCUGGCUUUCAAUCGUUACGAAACGAAACUAUUCAUGUUUUAAUAUAUUUUAUAUAAAUUUGUUUAGAGCGAAACAAAUAUAGUGCGGUGUUGCAGUUUAA